UAGUCCACGCCGUAAACGUUGGGCGCUAGGUGUGGGAUCCUUCCACGGAUUCCGUGCCGCAGCUAACGCAUUAAGCGCCCCGCCUGGGGAGUACGGCCGCAAGGCUAAAACUCAAAGGAAUUGACGGGGGCCCGCACAAGCGGCGGAGCAUGUUGCUUAAUUCGACGCAACGCGAAGAACCUUACCAAGGUUUGACAUGCAGGGAAAAGCCGUAGAGAUACGGUGUCCGUAAGGGUCCUGCAC
rnacentral:rRNA from 1 species